rnacentral:rRNA from 1 species
CAUAAUUCCCUCCCGCGUCGUGGAGCUGCUCUCUGGGAUAGAACCCUUGAUUUUGAGUACCUUUUCGUUUCCUCGGCGGGUCCGCCCGCCGGUGGACAACCAAAAACUCUCUGUAAUAGCAGUAUCUUCUGAGAAAAACAAAUAGUCAAAACUUUCAACAACGGAUCUCUUGGUUCUGGCAUCGAUGAAGAACGCAGCGAAAUGCGAUAAGUAGUGUGAAUUGCAGAAUUCAGUGAAUCAUCGAAUCUUUGAACGCACAUUGCGCCCUUCGGUAUUCCGUUGGGCAUGCCUGUUCGAGCGUCAUUUAAACCUUCAAGCAUAGCUUGGUGUUGGGUGCUUGUCCUCCCCCGCGGUGGACUCACCUCAAAUGCAUUGGCGGCCGGUAUGUUGGCUUCGAGCGCAGUACAACGCGCCUGGUGUCUAGACGUGCUGGUCCUCCACAAGACCUUCUUUAAUCUUGACCUCGGAUCAGGUAGGGAUACCCGCUGAACUUAAGCAUAUCAAUAAGCGGAGGAA